ACGGAAGGCAGCAGUGAGGAAUAUUGGUCAAUGGGCGGAAGCCUGAACCAGCCAAGUCGCGUGAAGGAUGAAGGUAUUAUGUAUUGUAAACUUCUUUAGACGUAGAGAAAUAAGGGGAUCGUGAUCCCUGAUGCUAGUAUACGUAGAAUAAGGAUCGGCUAACUCCGUGCCAGCAGCCGCGGUAAUACGGAGGAUCCGAGCGUUAUCCGGAUUUAUUGGGUUUAAAGGGAGCGUAGGCGGGAUGUCAAGUCAGCUGUGAAAUGUAGUCGCUCAACGUCUGCACUGCAGUUGAAACUGGUGUUCUUGAGUGCGUAAGAGGCAGGUGGAAUUCGUCGUGUAGCGGUGAAAUGCAUAGAUAUGACGAAGAACUCCGAUUGCGAAGGCAGCCUGCUGGGCCGCUACUGACGCUGAAGCUCGAAGGUGCGGGUAUCAAACAGGAUUAGAUACCCUGGUA
rnacentral:rRNA from 1 species